UUUGAGACCGGCGCACGGGUGCGUAACGCGUAUGCAAUCUACCUUUUACAGAGGGAUAGCCCAGAGAAAUUUGGAUUAAUACCUCAUAGUAUAGUGAGUUGGCAUCAACACACUAUUAAAGUCACAACGGUAAAAGAUGAGCAUGCGUCCCAUUAGCUAGUUGGUAAGGUAACGGCUUACCAAGGCAACGAUGGGUAGGGGUCCUGAGAGGGAGAUCCCCCACACUGGUACUGAGACACGGACCAGACUCCUACGGGAGGCAGCAGUGAGGAAUAUUGGUCAAUGGGCGCAAGCCUGAACCAGCCAUGCCGCGUGCAGGAUGACGGUCCUAUGGAUUGUAAACUGCUUUUGCACAGGAAGAAACACUCGGUCGUGACCGAGCUUGACGGUACUGUGAGAAUAAGGAUCGGCUAACUCCGUGCCAGCAGCCGCGGUAAUACGGAGGAUCCAAGCGUUAUCCGGAAUCAUUGGGUUUAAAGGGUCCGUAGGCGGCCAGAUAAGUCAGUGGUGAAAGCCCAUCGCUCAACGAUGGAACGGCCAUUGAUACUGUUUGGCUUGAAUUAUUUGGAAGUAACUAGAAUAUGUAGUGUAGCGGUGAAAUGCUUAGAGAUUACAUGGAAUACCAAUUGCGAAGGCAGGUUACUACAAAUUGAUUGACGCUGAUGGACGAAAGCGUGGGUAGCGAACAGGAUUAGAUACCCUGGUAGUCCACGCCGUAAACGAUGGAUACUAGCUGUUGGGAGCAAUCUCAGUGGCUAAGCGAAAGUGAUAAGUAUCCCACCUGGGGAGUACGUUCGCAAGAAUGAAACUCAAAGGAAUUGACGGGGGCCCGCACAAGCGGUGGAGCAUGUGGUUUAAUUCGAUGAUACGCGAGGAACCUUACCAAGGCUUAAAUGUAGAUUGACCGGUUUGGAAACAGACUUUUCGCAAGACAAUUUACAAGGUGCUGCAUGGUUGUCGUCAGCUCGUGCCGUGAGGUGUCAGGUUAAGUCCUAUAACGAGCGCAACCCCUGUUGUUAGUUGCCAGCGAGUCAUGUCGGGAACUCUAGCAAGACUGCCAGUGUAAACUGUGAGGAAGGUGGGGAUGACGUCAAAUCAUCACGGCCCUUACGCCUUGGGCUACACACGUGCUACAAUGGCCGGUACAGAGAGCAGCCACUACGC
rnacentral:rRNA from 1 species